rnacentral:misc_RNA from 1 species
GCCACUCGUUCUACCUCCAAUAAAGCAACUCCAGCAUCUCCAGCUACUGAUAAAUUAGAUUCAACAUUAUCAUUUUCCUCAGCUCUCUCAGUAUUAGGUGCAUUAAAAAUCGAGCUAUUUGAACUCAACGUGGAAAAAAGUGAGGCCGAAGCAGGAAUAAUCCCAAAACUACUACUGUAAUUGAAUGGUAUGAAUCUCCGGU